AGAGUUUGAUCCUGGCUCAGGAUGAACGCUAGCGGCAGGCUUAAUACAUGCAAGUCGAACGGUAACAGGGAUAGCAAUAUCUGCUGACGAGUGGCGCACGGGUGCGUAACACGUAUGCAACUUACCCUCUACAGGUGAAUUGCUCAGAGAAAUCUGAAUUAAUACACCGUAACAUUAUUUAAUGGCAUCAUUAGAUAAUUAAAGCUACGGCGGUAGAGGAUGGGCAUGCGUAACAUUAGCUAGUUGGAGAGGUAAUGGCUCCCCAAGGCGACGAUGUUUAGGGGGUUUGAGAGGAUGAUCCCCCACACUGGUACUGAGACACGGACCAGACUCCUACGGGAGGCAGCAGUAAGGAAUAUUGGUCAAUGGACGCAAGUCUGAACCAGCCAUGCCGCGUGCAGGAUGAAGGCCCUAUGGGUCGUAAACUGCUUUUGUACGAGAAGAAACCUCCGAUCGUGAUCGGAGCUGACGUUAUCGUAAGAAUAAGGAUCGGCUAACUCCGUGCCAGCAGCCGCGGUAAUACGGAGGAUCCAAGCGUUAUCCGGAUUUAUUGGGUUUAAAGGGUGCGUAGGCGGACUAGUAAGUCAGUGGUGAAAUCCUUCAGCUUAACUGAAGAACUGCCAUUGAUACUGCUAAUCUUGAGUUUAGAUGAAGUGGGCGGAAUGUGUCAUGUAGCGGUGAAAUGCAUAGAUAUGACACAGAACACCGAUAGCGAAGGCAGCUCACUAAACUAAAACUGACGCUGAUGCACGAAAGCGUGGGGAUCAAACAGGAUUAGAUGCCCUGGUGGUCCACGCCGUAAACGAUGAUUACUCGAUGUGUGCGAUACACAGUACGCGUCUAAGCGAAAGUGAUAAGUAAUCCACCUGGGGAGUACGAUCGCAAGAUUGAAACUCAAAGGAAUUGACGGGGGCCCGCACAAGCGGAGGAGCAUGUGGUUUAAUUCGAUGAUACGCGAGGAACCUUACCUGGGCUUGAAAGUUAGUGACGGAUUGUGAAAGCAGUCUUCCCUUCGGGGCACGAAACUAGGUGCUGCAUGGCUGUCGUCAGCUCGUGCCGUGAGGUGUUGGGUUAAGUCCCGCAACGAGCGCAACCCCUAUCAUUAGUUGCCAACAGGUUAAGCUGGGAACUCUAGUGAAACUGCCCGCGCAAGCGGUGAGGAAGGUGGGGACGACGUCAAGUCAUCACGGCCCUUACGUCCAGGGCUACACACGUGCUACAAUGGUAGAUACAACGGGCAGCUACAUGGCAACAUGAUGCAAAUCUCUAAAAGUCUAUCUCAGUUCGGAUUGAAGUCUGCAACUCGACUUCAUGAAGCUGGAUUCGCUAGUAAUCGCGUAUCAGCAAUGACGCGGUGAAUACGUUCCCGGGCCUUGUACACACCGCCCGUCAAGCCAUGGGAGUUGGGGGUACCUGAAGUCGAUAACCGCAAGGAGUCGCCUAGGGUAAAACCGAUGACUGGGGCUAAGUCGUAACAAGGUA
rnacentral:rRNA from 1 species